GGAAGCAGCCCAUGGCCGGUGAUGGAAGCAGACAGUGCUGUUCCUCGAAGUGCCAAGUGCCUUUGAGUAUCCAUGGAAAGAAGGAAUGCAAAAGCAGGUGCAGACAUGCUGCAGGUAGGAAGGCGGGCAAAGUGGCCAAGCUCAUUUGGUGUCCAGAAAUAUAAAUAGAAUCCUCAGGUCACAACACUGCUGUUGUGACUCAGGAGAAUGAAAGGAGUGACAAA